rnacentral:rRNA from 1 species
UCUACGGGAGGCAGCAGUGGGGAAUAUUGCACAAUGGGCGCAAGCCUGAUGCAGCCAUGCCGCGUGUGUGAAGAAGGCCUUCGGGUUGUAAAGCACUUUCAGUCGUGAGGAAGGUAGUGUAGUUAAUAGCUGCAUUAUUUGACGUUAGCGACAGAAGAAGCACCGGCUAACUCCGUGCCAGCAGCCGCGGUAAUACGGAGGGUGCGAGCGUUAAUCGGAAUUACUGGGCGUAAAGCGCAUGCAGGUGGUUUGUUAAGUCAGAUGUGAAAGCCCGGGGCUCAACCUCGGAAUUGCAUUUGAAACUGGCAGACUAGAGUACUGUAGAGGGGGGUAGAAUUUCAGGUGUAGCGGUGAAAUGCGUAGAGAUCUGAAGGAAUACCGGUGGCGAAGGCGGCCCCCUGGACAGAUACUGACACUCAGAUGCGAAAGCGUGGGGAGCAAACAGGAUUAGAUACCCUGGUAGUCCACGCCGUAAACGAUGUCUACUUGGAGGUUGUGGCCUUGGGCCGUGGCUUUCGGAGCUAACGCGUUAAGUAGACCGCCUGGGGAGUACGGUCGCAAGAUUAAAACUCAAAGGAAUUGACGGA